rnacentral:rRNA from 1 species
AUGGAAUCUGAAAUACCCCAGGAUAACACACCAGAAGAUGCUUAUGUAGAACCUGUGGACUAUUCAUCUAGUCAAGAUUCUAUGGAAUCACUAGGCACAAAACUUGGGAUUCACAAAAAGGAGGAAGGAGACAAGGAUAAAGACAAGGAUGGACCUGCUAGAAGAAGUGAUAGAAACCUGGAUAAAAAAGAUGUUAAAAUGGAAGAUCUGGCCAAGGAAAGUGCAGCUGAAAAAGACAAUUAUGAAAAGGUGCCCAGCGGAAAGAAUGAUGAUGCUGUGAGCAAAACUCACCGUGCAAGUAGCAAGUGA